AUUGAACGCUGGCGGCAGGCCUAACACAUGCAAGUCGAGCGGGGUUUUCGGACCUAGCGGCGGACGGGUGAGUACUGCGUAGGAAGCUACACGAAAGAGGGGGAUACCAGUUGGAAACGACUGUUAAUACCGCAUAAUGUCUACGGACCAAAGUGUGGGACCUGCGGGCCACAUGCUAUCGGAUGCGCCUACGGGGGGUGAGCUAGCUGGUGAGGUAAUGGCGUCCCAAGGCGACGAUCCCUAGCUGGUUGGAGAGGAUGAUCAGCCACACUGGAACUUGGACACUGUCCAGACUCCUACGGGAGGCAGCAGUGGGGAAUAUUGGACAAUGGGCGCAAGCCUGAUCCAGCCAUGCCGCGUGUGUGAAGAAGGCCUUCGGGUUGUAAAGCACUUUCAGCGAGGAGGAAGGGGUGAGUGUUAAUAGUACUCAUCUUUGACGUUACUCGCAGAAGAAGCACCGGCUAACUCUGUGCCAGCCGCCGCCGUAAAAC
rnacentral:rRNA from 1 species